UGUCAAUCAUUUUCUUCUUCGUCAGCCUCCCUUCAAUCGCCAUAUUGGGCAACCGAGAAAAGGGCUCGUCUCCUCUUGUUUUUUUCCGUCUCGGUUUUACUACGAGGCGGCGGCGGUGCGAGCGGCGGGGACAUCGCCAUCAACCACCGGCGGGGCAGCGCAGAGCCGGAGCCGCGGAAGGCCGCGCACCGCUCCGCUCCUCCACCCGCCCGGGGCUCCCCGCCGGCGGCUCCGGCGGCGGCUCUCGGGGCUCCCCCCCGGGCCGGCGCUUAUGCAAGGGCUCUUCCUCGCCCCUUCUCCGCGGGCCGAGGGCGAGUGGGGCCGAGGCGGGGCCGGCGAGCGGGGCAGCGAGGAGAGGAGGCGCGGAGGAGAGCCGCAGAGCAGCGCCCGGGAAUAAAAGGCUGAGAGGAGGAGAAGGAGGCGGCGGCCGCGGCUGGAGAAGGGAGAGAGCAGCGAGCAAAACAACCGCCGCCAGAAGAAAGAGGGUGGGGGGAGAUGUCAAACGUCCGUAUUUCUAAUGGGAGCCCUACCCUGGAGCGCAUGGAAGCCAGGCAGUCGGAGUACCCGAAGCCGUCAGCUUGCAGGAACCUCUUCGGGCCGGUGAAUCACGAAGAGUUAAACAGGGACUUGAAGAAGCACCGCCAGGAGAUGGAGGAGGCAUGCCAGAGGAAGUGGAAUUUCGAUUUCCAGAAUCACAAGCCGCUGGAAGGCAGGUACGAGUGGCAAGCCGUGGAGAAGGGGAGCUCGCCCGACUUCUACUUCAGACCCCCCAGGCUACUGAAAGCUGUCUGCAAGUCCGCCGGCCGCCAGAGCUUGGAUGUAAACGGGAAUUGCCAAACCGUGGUUUUUGUCGGUUCUCAGGGAAUCUCAGAGGACACUCACUGUGUAGGUCAAAAGACUGAUCUUUCUGAAAAUCAGACGGACUUUGCAGAGCAGUGCACUGGGCAGAGGAAAAGACCUGCCACCGAUGAUUCCUCUCCUCAAAAUAAAAGAGCCAACACAACAGAAGAAGGGGUUUCAAAAGCCUCCCCCAGUGCCAAUUCAGUGGAGCAAACACCCAAGAAAUCAACCCCGAGAAGACAUCAAACGUAAACCGUUUAGGACCGGGACCAGGACCGCCCUUUCCCGAGGGACAGAGUUUCAAACGCGGCUGGUGCAUGAUGUCAGAUGACGAGGGAUUUCGGGGAGCUUCCCGUGUCGUGUCCGUGUCCCGUUACCCCCCGCCCCGAUGCUUUUUCACCGAUAAUGUCCGCUUUGCCGUCGAACGUCGCGGCGACCUCCCACCCCGGGAGAAAUGGGUCAAGAAGUUGGGUCUAAAGGGGAAUCCGGGCACUUUCUUUAAAAAUUCAAGCUAGACCGGAGGAUGUGCGUGUCCUCGUUCGUCGGGUGCGGCGAUGAAGCGGGGGAGAUGUAAAGGCGUAGAUGGAAAUGAAAAUACAUAUCGCCGAUCUCCGUGGGAUGGAGGUCCUGUACAAGCACUGAAAAGAAAAAAAAUAACAAAAAUACAAAAACCCAACCAACCAAGAACAGCAACAAAACAAAACCGACAACAAAAAAAAAAAAAAAAAAAAAAAAGGCAAACAAUAACACUAAAAUUUUAGGCACUCUUAAAAGACCUGCCUCUAAAAGCAUUGGAUGUAGCAUUGUGCAAUUAGGUGUUUCCUUAUUUGCUUCAUUGUACUACCUGUGUAUAUAGUUUCUACCUUAUGUAGCACAUAAACCUUGUUGGGAGGGGGGAGGGAGUGGAAGAGGGUGACCGAUCGGAACUUGCUUUCACAAUCUAGCAAGCAAUGAAAUGUAUGAAGAGAAGCAGUGUAGGUUUUUUUUUUUUUUUUUAAUUACUUAAAGAUGUAUUGUCCCUUUAAGUGGGUCUGCCGUAUUUUUGUCCUUUUUCCUUAUUUUUUUUAAUGGACCAUCCUGGUAACCCUGCUCAGAGCCGAUUAUUACAGGCCUCUUGUGAAAUACCUUCCUACUCCAUUAAGCUUAAGAGGUGGGAGCUAUGAUGAUUCCGUUACGUAGUAGCAAAAUCCCCCCCCCCCCCCCCCCCCCCAAUCCAUGCAGGAAAUUUGAAUGCCUGUUACAAGUUGUGCAACAUCAUCCCGUUGUUACAUUGCCUGAUUUCCUGGGUAGUUUUUUUUUUGGGGGGGGAUGGGGGAUGGAUGUUUUGGGGUUGUUUUGGUGUGUGUGGGUUUUGUGCCUUUGAUUUUUUUUUUUUAAACCUAAUCUGGAGGACUUUUCCUCUGAAUCCUGAAUAUUGUUGUUUUCUGAUCCGACCCACUUCCCGAAGUGUUCGAGGGAAAAGGGAUACUACAUCUUUAAACAGUAUUUCUACAUUGCCUGUGUACCUGUAUGUAAAAAUAAAAAAAAGUUUGAAGUGUACCUGUGUACAUAACUCUGUAAAGACACUGAGAAAUUAUACUAACUUAUUUAUGUUAAAAAUUUUUUUUUUAAUCUAGAAGACAAUAUUUUUCCCCAUAAAGCCAAAGUGGCAUGUUUUUGUGCAUUUGUAAAUGCUCUAUUUGGUAGACUUUUAGGGCUUUUUUGGUUUUGGUUUUUUUUUUGGGGGGGGGGUGUCCUUUUUCUGAUAAUGAAUAUGGCUGUGCUUAAAGGAUUGCAGACUGAGCCAAUUUAACUCCUUUUUCUUUUUUUUCUUUUCUUUUUUUUUUGUAAUGUGUGGGGAAAAAAAUCCAGAUUGAUACUGUUUCACAUCAAGCAAUCAAUAAAGAAAACUGCCAUAUAUAAGAAA